GAUGAACGCUGGCGGCGUGCCUAAUACAUGCAAGUCGAGCGAACGGACGAGAAGCUUGCUUCUCGGAUGUUAGCGGCAGACGGGUGAGUAACACGUGGAUAACCUACCUAUAAGACUGGGAUAACUUCGGGAAACCGGAGCUAAUACCGGAUAAUAUUUUGAACCGCAUGGUUCAAAAGUGAAAGACGGUCUUGCUGUCACUUAUAGAUGGAUCCGCGCUGCAUUAGCUGGUUGGUAAGGUAAAGGCUUACGAAGGCAACGAGGCCUAGCCGACCUGAGAGGGUGAUCGGCCACACUGGAACUGGGACACGGUCCAGACUCCUACGGGAGGCAGCAGUAGGGAAUCUUCCGCAAUGGGCGAAAGCCUGACGGAGCAACGCCGCGUGAGUGAUGAAGGUCUUCGGAUCGUAAAACUCUGUUAUUAGGGAAGAACAUAUGUGUAAGUAACUGUGCACAUCUUGACGGUACCUAAUCAGAAAGCCACGGCUAACUACGUG
rnacentral:rRNA from 1 species